rnacentral:rRNA from 1 species
AUGAACGCUGGCGGCGUGCCUAAUACAUGCAAGUCGAGCGAACAGAUGAGGAGCUUGCUCCUCUGACGUUAGCGGCGGACGGGUGAGUAACACGUGGAUAACCUACCUAUAAGACUGGGAUAACUUCGGGAAACCGGAGCUAAUACCGGAUAAUAUAUUGAACCGCAUGGUUCAAUAGUGAAAGACGGUUUUGCUGUCACUUAUAGAUGGAUCCGCGCCGCAUUAGCUAGUUGGUAAGGUAACGGCUUACCAAGGCAACGAUGCGUAGCCGACCGGAGUGGGUGACCGGCCACCCUAAGACUGAGACGCGGUCGUAGCUCCAAGGGGAGGCAGAAGUGGGGAAGCUUCCGCAAGGGGCGAAGACCUGACGAAGAACCGACGCGUGAAUAAUGAAGAAUUUCGGAUCGUAAUAAUCUGUUAUAAGGGAAGAAAAAAUGUGUAAGUAACUAUGCCCGUCUUGACGUUACUUAACCAGAAAGCCACGGCUAACUACAUG